GAAGAAGACAAAGCCGAGGAAUUACUACUCUUGCUGGCUGUGCGACCGGUCAGUGAUUGACCGGCUGCGUCAUCUAGAACAGGAGCACAAAAUGGAGGCUGGGACAUUCAAUUUCGUUUACACAAGAGGGCCGUUUCCGGAAGGUCGCGAAAACUUCAGGAAAGGUGACCAGCAGACUCGCCACUCAUGGUGACUCGGCAUAGGAGGAUGAGAAGGUGGAGGAUGAGGAGGAGGAGGAAGAGGACUUUUCGUUCCUAACGCGGAAAUACUGCCUGAGCCUGGAACCCAAUGCAAGGGUGAUGCAUGGUCGGAGAAGCUGCAAACUACAUGUUCCUGCGGAGCAGGCCAGGUGGGUUGGCAAACGAGUCGAAAACACAAGAGGUCAACAUGAAGAUCAACCGGUUCCUGGCCCUGUCUGGCUACUUGGAAGGAGCGGUGUUGAGUGACGUGCUGUUGUGGAAGGGCCAUAUGGAGGUCCACGACAGUUCCUCAACACCACUCACCAGCUGAAGACGGUGUGGACUGCACUAACGGCAAUCAAGAACUUUAUGAAGUGGUGCGAGGGAAUGGUCUAGCGGACGCCCGCGCAUUGAACAAUGCCGAUCUCCUUCUCACAGGCUGCCUGACCUCAAGCCGCCUGGAUAUGAGCCGUCGCGAGGUUGUUCGGAGGGUAGAGGAGAGUGCGGCCAUCCUGACGGACGCAAACCUGGAGCGCCACUUCACUGAGAGUGAGCAUGUAGUGAAAACGAUCAAGGUGAUCCAGGAGACCCCGCUGGCACACCUGAAAGAUAUUCGGGGAAUAUUUAUUAAACUGAUAGCGCUCUAUUACGCCUCCUGAACCGGCA